ACUAGAUUCAACAGAAUUGAAAAAAAACUUCAAGCAUAUUUCGAUGGAAUCAUACACAACUAACAACUCUAACAUCUAAUUGAGGUUACUGACAAAUAGAUAAUUCAUUUUGAAUUAGGAAGAAAUUAACAAAAUCAACAUCAGUUAAAAAAAGUCUAACAUAAUUACUAACAAAUACAAACAAAACUAACUAAAUGCAACUUAAUGAUUUAGAGUAAAUUUCAGAUAUUUGAUAUGAAUUCCAAUUUCAUUUGAAUGAUAAUUCCUAACUAACUAUCAAAUUUGAGAGGAAGUUCAUUGUAAAUUUCAACCUAAAUUCUAACCAACUCAGAAUGCUAUAAAGAUUUACCGUACUGAGAUUCUGCAGUUUCUUCAAAAAAAACUUCGAAAUCUUCAAUCCUUCACUCUUUCAGUCUCGUUUUCUUCACCUUCUCGCAAUCGAUUCAUCAUGCAUUUCCGUUUCAGAUCCUUGCGCCGCCAAGCUCACACCGUACAUCGAUCCACAACUUCACCAUAAAAGCGGUUCUACUGUCGACGAUUGUCGCCGCGUCGGAGUUCCAUUCCGGUAAGACGCAACGGUCUUGGCGAUUAUGUCGUGACUGUGAAUAAGGUUUCUUGUUGUUUGGUUGUGUAUUUCGUCGGGCAGCCAACGAUUUGUUGUGAGGCGAAGGAAGGGGGUUUCCGGCGGAUGAGGUUUCCUGGAGGGAACUCGUCGGUAGUGAUAUUGUUGUUCGACAGUGUGUUUAUGAAGUGGUGGUGUGUGUAGAAGUGGUUCUUUGGUUGAUGGAAGACGGUGGAGUGAAGCACGGUAAAGUAGGUGUUUGAAGGAGAAGGUGAGGUAGUUUUUGUCGAUGAAGAUUCGGUGGGUUGGGUGAGGGUGACGAUGAAUAGUGAGCAGUGAGCUUUGAAUGAGAAGGAGAUGUUACGGUGUGGAAUCCAAAGCAACCUCUCUGUAUUGAGAGAAAAAGUUCAUAAUGAGAGGAGAUGGAGCACCGUUUUUGGUGAGUGUCCUCGUGAGGAAGAGAUGUGUUGUCAUCUUUUAUUUGUGCCCUUGGUGUCCUUUUUAUUUUUAUUUUACCGUUAAACAUGGCCAG
rnacentral:lncRNA from 1 species